UACGUAGGGUGCAAGCGUUGUCCGGAAUUAUUGGGCGUAAAGAGCUCGUAGGCGGUUUGUCGCGUCUGCUGUGAAAUCCCGAGGCUCAACCUCGGGCCUGCAGUGGGUACGGGCAGACUAGAGUGCGGUAGGGGAGAUUGGAAUUCCUGGUGUAGCGGUGAAAUGCGCAGAUAUCUGGAGGAACACCGGUGGCGAAGGCGGCAUCCUGGACCAACACUGACACUGAGGAGCGAAAGCCAGGG
rnacentral:rRNA from 1 species